UGGUCAAAGAAGAAGUUAUCCGCUUCUCACCUUGUAAGCACAGGCGUACGGGUUAUCAAUAACUUGAUUUAUUUCAGUUAAUUCGCGGAUACUUCUGUAUCCGCUUUUUUAUUAUAUG
rfam:Mogibacterium pumilum strain ATCC 700696 genome.